AAUUAUAAACUAGCGCCUGAACCAUAAUAAGGUUGACGAGGAGAGUAAUUAUCGAAUAUUCGGCGGAUAUUACUCUGGGUUAUAUACUCAUUAGAUUAUUAUAAAAAACAAAAUCAAUAUUGUAUAACAAAAUAAUAAUCACAUAUAAGA
rfam:Firmicutes bacterium CAG:321 genomic scaffold, scf107